CGGUUACAAUGAUGAACAUUCUUGAAAUUUUUUUCAGUUAUCCCUGACUGAAAAAAAUUACAAUUCUUGUUGAGAAAUUUACCUUCUGAGUGUACCG
rnacentral:snoRNA from 1 species